rnacentral:rRNA from 1 species
UACGGAGGGUGCAAGCGUUGUCCGGAAUCAUUGGGCGUAAAGAGUUCGUAGGCGGUUUGUUAAGUUUGGUGUUAAAUCCCGAGGCUCAACCUCGGCACGGCACUGGAUACUGGCAGACUAGAAUGCGGUAGAGGUAAAGGGAAUUCCUGGUGUAGCGGUGAAAUGCGUAGAUAUCAGGAGGAACAUCGGUGGCGUAAGCGCUUUACUGGGCCGUUAUUGACGCUGAGGAACGAAAGCCAGGGUAGCGAAU